UGGGGAAUUUUGGACAAUGGGCGAAAGCCUGAUCCAGCCAUUCCGCGUGAGUGAAGAAGGCCUUCGGGUUGUAAAGCUCUUUCGCAAGGGAAGAAAACUUAACCUCUAACAUAGGUUGAGGCUGACGUUACCGACAGAAUAAGCACCGGCUAACUCUGUGCCAGCAGCCGCGGUAAUACAGAGGGUGCAAGCGUUAAUCGGAAUUACUGGGCGUAAAGCGCGCGUAGGUGGUUAGUUAAGUUGGAUGUGAAAUCCCCGGGCUCAACCUGGGAACUGCAUUCAAAACUGACUGACUAGAGUAUGGUAGAGGGUGGUGGAAUUUCCUGUGUAGCGGUGAAAUGCGUAGAUAUGCGGAGGAACACCGAUGGCGAAGGCAAUCCCCUGGACCUGUACUGAUGCUCAUGCACGAAAGCGUGGGGAGCAAACAGGAUUAGAUACCCGUGUAGUCCCUGAGCGGGCUGGCAAGGCGCAU
rnacentral:rRNA from 1 species